UUUUUUUUUUUUUUUUUGAGACAGAGUCUUGCUCUGUCACCCAGGCUGGAGUGCAGUGGCAUGGUCUCAGCUCACUGCAACCUCCGCCCCCUGGGUUCAAGUGGUUCUCCUGCUUCAGCCUCCCGAGUAGCUGGUAUUACAGGCGCCCACCACCACAUCUGGCUAAUUUUUGUAUUUUUAGUAGAGAUGGGGUUUCAUCAUGUUGGCCAGGCUGGUCUUGAACUCCUGACCUCGUGAUCCCGUGACCUGCCUUGGCCUCCCAAAGUGUUGGUAAUACAGGUGUAAGCCACCACACCCAGCUAAGCCUCUCUUCUUUACAAAUUACUCAGCCUCAGGUAUUCUUGUAUAGCAACACAAACAGAGUAAGACCAGAAGUCUUUAGAUGACUCCAGGCCCAGCAACCAUCUGACUACAACUUCAUGAAUGACCCCAAGUGAGGACCACCCAGAUGAGCUUGAACAAGUCCAACCAUGAGACAUAAUAAUACAUCGUUUUAAUCCACUGAAUUCGGGGGUGAUUUCUUAUGCAAUAAUACAUACUGGUCCACAAACAUUUUAGUUUAUAAUUUAAUUAAAUACAUACAGGAGGAGGAUUGAACUUAGGCACAGGCAAAUCAGAUGACAUUGUCAGAAAGAUGUUAGCAAGAACUCCGCACUAUAACAUCUCCUCUGGUGGCCUGUCCUGUUGCCAUAAAUUACACCAAGAGAGAAUCGCUUCUGGGUGACAGGUGAUCUCUUCAAGAUGGAUACAAAAGGGGGUCAUUGAGCAGCGAGGGAGAACACCUCAUGUUUAAUGAGGUAUCUGUACCUUACUAUGAAGUGGUUUCUUGAUGUCUGAAAACGGUCCCAGGGAAAUGAGGUUUUUGAUAUCCAGAGAGACAGUGCAAGGGAUAUGUUUAAAAAUAUGGACCACUAUGAAACUCGAAAAAGGCUGGAGUCAAGAGCAAGGAGAUAAGAAUGGAAGGAGGAACAAAAAUAUUCACUUACAUCUUUGUCUGUUUCAAUUUGUCAAUUUCAGCUAUAGAUGACUCGGAGGGUUCUUUGUUCUCAGCAAACUUUGUAGCUUACAUGGUGACUAAAAUACGACUGAUGAUGCAGAUGGAUGGGGAAAUGCUUUAUUUCAAACCUCCAGGGGACUUGGCACAUGGCUGUAACCCAGGUCUAUGCACGUCACCUUGAUCCUCUGAUGGUGACUGGCUCUGAAACAUGAAUGGGCAACAAAGGGGCCCAAAUAUGGCUGCCCCAGACUCUGCUGCAAAGGGAGUCCUCUUUCACCUUUUGUUCCCUUGGAGCAAAUGGGAAAUGAUUGGUGUGUCUGCUCUUAUGUAGAGGCAAAAAUGUGUACAAUUAAAGAUUCAAUCGUAUCUACUCAGGAGAAUUCCCUUUCUAUCUUGCUAAAUGACAAUGAGGAGGGCUUCAAAACCAGGGAAGGGAAAAAUCUGGAGGCAUCCCAGCUUGAGGCUCAGGUUGAGGAAACGGUAUCAUAAAUAUUGAUUUAGUAGAGUUGAAGUAGUACACUUAGUCAUAAUGACAACAAUGCUGGUAGCAGA
rnacentral:lncRNA from 1 species